UACGUAGGGUGCGAGCGUUAAUCGGAAUUACUGGGCGUAAAGUGUGCGCAGGCGGCCGCGCAAGUCGAGUGUGAAAGCCCCGGGCUUAACUUGGGAAUUGCGCUCGAAACUACGUGGCUGGAGUGUGGCAGAGGAAGGUGGAAUUCCAGGUGUAGCGGUGAAAUGCGUAGAGAUCUGGAGGAACACCAGUGGCGAAGGCGACUUCCUGGCCUGUUCUUGACGCUGAGGCGCGAAAGCUAGGGGAGCAAACGGG
rnacentral:rRNA from 1 species